rnacentral:misc_RNA from 1 species
UCGUAACAAGGUUUCCGUAGGUGAACCUGCGGAAGGAUCAUUACCGAGUGUAGGGUUCCUAGCGAGCCCAACCUCCCACCCGUGUUUACUGUAACCUUAGUUGCUUCGGCGGGCCCGCCUUUAAGGCCGCCGGGGGGCAUCAGCCCCCGGGCCCGCGCCCGCCGGAGACACCACGAACUCUGUCUGAUCUAGUGAAGUCUGAGUUGAUUGUAUCGCAAUCAGUUAAAACUUUCAACAAUGGAUCUCUUGGUUCCGGCAUCGAUGAAGAACGCAGCGAAAUGCGAUAACUAGUGUGAAUUGCAGAAUUCCGUGAAUCAUCGAGUCUUUGAACGCACAUUGCGCCCCCUGGUAUUCCGGGGGGCAUGCCUGUCCGAGCGUCAUUGCUGCCCAUCAAGCACGGCUUGUGUGUUGGGUCGUCGUCCCCUCUUCGGGGGGGACGGGCCCCAAAGGCAGCGGCGGCACCGCGUCCGAUCCUCGAGCGUAUGGGGCUUUGUCACCCGCUCUGUAGGCCCGGCCGGCGCUUGCCGAACGCAAAACAACCAUUCUUUCCAGGUUGACCUCGGAUCAGGUAGGGAUACCCGCUGAACUUAAGCAUAUCAAAAGGCG